rnacentral:snRNA from 1 species
AUAAAUAACACUAUACACUUUUCU